rnacentral:tRNA from 1 species
AGCAGGCUAGGUUAAGGUUUGGACUGCUUGUCUUCAAAACAAGAGGUGAUUGUUGUCGUUUGCUG